ACAUGAAUCUGUGGGAUGAGCUGAGUGUGUGGGUUGUGAACAUAAACAUUUUCCAAAUCUGUCAUUUUCAAACAUCUUAUUCUGUCGCUGCUGACAUUUGUUUACAGCGUCUGCUGACAGUCGGGUGCUGACAGUCUGGUGCUGACAGUCAGGUGCUGACAGUCAGGUGCUGACAGUCAGGUGCUGACAGUCCAGUCAGGUGCUGACAGUCAGGUGCUGAGAGUCCAGUCAGGUGCUGACAGUCAGGUGCUGACAGUCCAGUCAGGUGCUGACAGUCCAGUCAGGUGCUGACAGUCCAGUCAGGUGCUGACAGUCCAGUCAGGUGCUGACAGUCCAGUCAGGUGCUGACAGUCCAGUCAGGUGCUGACAGUCCAGUCAGGUGCUGACAGUCGGGUGCUGACAGUCAGGUGCUGACAGUCACGUCAGGUGCUGACAGUCGGGUGUUGACAGUCAGGUGCUGAGAGUCCAGUCAGGUGCUGAUAGUCGGGUGCUGACAGUCGGGUGCUGACAGUCAGGUGCUGACAGUCAGGUGCUGACAGUCGGGUGCUGACAGUCGGGUGUUGACAGUCGGGUGUUGACAGUCGGGUGCUGACAGUCAGGUGCUGACAGUCAGAUGCUGACAGGCCAGUAAGGUGCUGACAGUCGGGUGCUGACAGUCGGGUGCUGACAGUCGGGUGCUGACAGUCAGGUGCUGGCAGUCAGGUGCUGACAGUCAGGUGCUGACAGUCAGGUGCUGACAGUCCAGUCAGGUGCUGACAGUCCAGUCAGGUGCUGACAGUCCAGUCAGGUGCUGACAGUCCAGUCAGGUGCUGGCAGU